rnacentral:lncRNA from 1 species
CUUGUACUUGAAAGCCAAUCCAUACAUUGCUUUUCUCUUAAAAAGCAGUAAUUUACCAAAUAUAGAGCUCCUGACCUUGAUUCAGUGUUCACAAAAAUUGUAAAAAUUUUAAAUAUAAUCAAAUCAUGCCUACAGAGAAUAUGUAUUUUUAGCAAAUUGCACCAAGAAAUUGGCAGCAAGGACAAGAUUCUGCUUUUCCCUGUUGAACCACUCUGGCUGCCAAAAGAAAAGGUUUUUGAAACAAAGAAAGAGCUUUAAAAAGUUUUUAUGACACCCGUAAUACCAGUGUGACAAAAUGUGCACAGGACUUUUUCUGUCCUCUGACAAUUUUAGAAUGAUGUCCCUGAGCUGAAAACAGAAAGUGUGAAGUGCUAUCAGAUUCCAAAAAGGGCUGCCCAAGAGAUGCGAAGAGAUGGAGGAAUUUGCCUGAAUCCUAUCAACUCACCGCGGCCCUUCCUAUAUGUAAGAACGGGAACCAGAAAGAGAAGGGACCCUUCAGAGUCAGAGCCCAGGGCUAUGGGUUUUUACUCUCCACUGCUGCCCGGGGCAGCAUCCUGGAGACCAUGGACCCUUCUGCCGUCCCACCCAUCUUUGAACCAAUGCAAACUGUCUUCAGAACUCACGCCGUUACAUAAAAAGAUUCUACAGGCAGAUCACCUGAGGUUGAAAGGUGUAGCCAGCUGGACUUCCUGGUUCAAGUGGAGACUUGGAGAACUUACCUCUCUUACAAGAGGGCUGUAAAAUGCACCAAUCAACACUCUGUAGCUAGGAUUGUAAAACGCACCAAUCAGUGCUCUGUAGCUAGCUAGAGGUUUGUAAAAUGCACCAAUCAGUGCUCUGUAGCUAGCUAGAGGUUUGUAAAAUGCACCAAUAAGUGCUCUGCAAAAACGCACCAAUCAGUGCUCUGUAGCCAGCUAGAGAUUUGUAAAAUGAACCAAUCAGUGCUCUGUAAAAUGGACCAAUCAGCAGGACAUGGAUGGGGACAAAUAAGGGCAUAAAAGCUGGCUACCCCAGCCCACAGCUGCAACCCGCUCAGGUGCCCUUCCAGGCUGUGGGAGGUUUGUUCUUUUGCUCUCCACAAUAAAUCUUGCCACUGCUCACUCUUUGUGUCUGUA